rnacentral:rRNA from 1 species
ACUACGGGAGGCAGCAGUGAGGAAUAUUGGUCAAUGGACGCAAGUCUGAACCAGCCAUGCCGCGUGCAGGAAGAAGGCUCUAUGAGUUGUAAACUGCUUUUGUACGAGGGUAAACGCAGAUACGCGUAUCUGUCUGAAAGUAUCGUACGAAUAAGGAUCGGCUAACUCCGUGCCAGGAGCCGCGGUCAUACGGAGGAUUCAAGCGUUAUCCGGAUUUAUUGGGUUUAAAGGGUGCGUAGGCGGUCGGAUAAGUUAGGGGUGAAAUCCCGAGGCUCAACUUUGGAAUUGCCUCUGAUACUGUUCGGCUGGAGAGUAGUUGCGGUAGGCGGAAUGUCUGGUGUAGCGGUGAAAUGCUUAGAGAUCAGACGGAACACCGAUUGCGAAGGCAGCUUACCAAGCUACUUCUGACGUUGAGGCGCGAAAGCGUGGGGAGCAAACAGGAUUAGAUACCCCUGUAGUC